ACCUGCUGAAUAUAUAGGCAGGAGAGAGCCAACCCAGCGAAUUGAAACAUCUUAGUAGCUGGAGGAAGAGAAAUCAAUUAAGAGAUUCCCUAAGUAGUGGUGAGCGAAAGGGGAAGAGCCUAAACCAAAAGAUUUAUCUUUUGGGGUAGUGGGACAGCGAUAUCGAAUCUAGAGGCUAGACGAAGCAGCUAAAUACUGCACCAAAGAAGGUGAAAGUCCUGUAGUCGAAAGUCAAAGGAUAGUAGCUGAAUCCCGAGUAGCAUGGGGCACGAGGAAUCCCAUGUGAAUCAGCGAGGACCACCUCGUAAGGCUAAAUACUACUGUGUGACCGAUAGUGAACCAGUACCGCGAGG
rnacentral:rRNA from 1 species